CUGCAGAGGCUUGGGAAGGGAUGGGGAGCCCGAGAUGGACGCGGGGCGCCAGGGCGGGGGGCAGACCGCCGGCUGGAGAUGGGGAGGCCAGGAGGGAGGGAGAGAGAGAGAGACACACACGCUGAGAGAGAGAUCCAGGUAGAAAGACGCGGAAAGUGAUACAGAGAGAGAGAGAGAGAGAGAGAGAGAGAGAGAGAGAGAGAUACUGAUGGAGGCAGAGCAAGAAAUACAGAUACACACUUAGCUAUAGCAACAGAGAGCCCCAUCCACCCAGCAGGUCGGAGAUGCCAGAACGAGACGCCAGGCAAGGCCAGAGCAGGGGGGAGACAGAAAUAGAAAAGAGAUCCAGAGUGACACAGCCAACACUAAAGAGAGAGACAGAGAAACACAGAGAAAGAGGCAGACACACACAGGCACCUGAGUAGAAACACUGCAGGGAAAGAGAGAGAGCCAGAAAGGACCAGAUGGCAGAGACCCAGGGGCCCAGACGGAAGGAGAGAGACCCAGAAACAAUCCAACGGACGUCAAGGGAGAGAGUCGAGGCAGAAAGACAGACAUUCGGAUAGAGAAUUGGGAACAGACAUUCCAAGGACCUAGAGAUGGAGGGGACAGGGACGCCCAAAGGGAGUCAGAAAUGAAGAGAAAACGCGAGAAAGAAAGAAGUGAGUCACUAAGUCUCACUAAACCUAAGAGAUUAGGCCCCUCCUCUCGAAGCAUUAGAGAAUCAACGAGAGAGAAGAGGGAGAAGAAGAGGGAGACAGAACAACGGGGAGAGAUGGACCCUGAAAGCCCCGUGAGGCUUUGAGGUCAAGGAGACACAUAUUCAGAAACUCAGUGACACGUGGAGAGAGAUGCUUGAGGGAACUAUGGAGACAGGGAAAAGAGGCAAGACAAAGGGAACAAUGGCGAUAACACGGUAACAACAACAACAACAACAAUAAUAAUAAGUUACAGUAAUAAUAGCCAGCACAUAAAGCAGCUACGACAUCCCAGGCAGAGUUCUGAGACUUCCUGUGAACUCGCUCGUGUAAUCCCCAGCCGCCCAAUGGGGUAGAGGCUGUGGUCCCAUUCUACAGAUGAGGAAACCAAGGGUCAGAAGCCAUCAGUGACUUGCCCAGAGUUCUCCACUUAGGAAGUGGAGGAGCAGAGGAGGAAAACAAAGACGAGAGGGGGGGGAGGGGCGCCUCGGUGGCUCAGUUGGUUAAACAUCCAACUCUGGAUUUCAGCUCAGGUCACGAUCUUGCGGUUGGUGGGUUCGAGUCCUGCGUCGGGCUCUGCACUGUCAGUGCGGAGCCUGCUUGGGAUUCUCUUUCUCUCCUCUCUCUGCCCUCCCCCCUCUCAAAAUGAAUAAAUAAACUUAAAAAGAAAAAAGAGGAAUGGAGGAAACACGAUGGAGGCAUAGAUGCAGAAAAGUGGGGAAAGCGUCAGGAAGAGUGGAAGAGGGACCCAAAUCUGAUGGAGAAAAGCCGCCCUGACUGGAGUUUUCUAGACACCAGGCCAUGCCAUGCACCCUGUAGGCUUUAUUUCAACCCUCAAAGCUGCCCCAUGAGGUGGGGUUAAAAUUAGCCCCAUUAUAGAGCUCUUCCUGCCCUUCGGUCCUGUCCCCAUGCUUUAAUAAUAAUAUAAAAAAAUUAGCCCCGUUAUUCAGAUAGAAACACUGAGGCUGGUGAGAGAGAUAAGCGACUCAUCCAAGAUAUAGUAGGUUGGAUGGUGCCCCCACACACGAAAGA